UGACAGUUCGGCAUUGAAACUAAAUAUAUGUGCGUCACAUAGAGAAUAUUUUGGUAUUCAAUGGAGGAGGAAGCAAAUCCGUUGCAUUUACCAGGGCCAUAGUGAGAAGAGCAGAUCUAAUGCAGAUCGAGGACAAUGUCCUACUCUGUGCAAGCUGUAUUGGUUGAAUACAAGACAGAUACUUCCAGUAGGAGCAGGAUUAUGCAAGAAAUGUGCCACUUUAUUAAGAAAAGAUGUUUGUAAUGAGCAAGUGAAUUUUGAGAAUGAAUUGGAAGCAUUUUAUGAAGCAAAAAGGUUAUUUGGUAGACCCAACAGCAGAAUAGAAC